rnacentral:rRNA from 1 species
AACCAGCACCUCAAGUGGUCAGGAUGAUUAUUGGGCCUAAAGCAUCCGUAGCCGGCUCUGUAAGUUUUCGGUUAAAUCUGUACGCUUAACGUACAGGCUGCCGGGAAUACUGCAGAGCUAGGGAGUGGGAGAGGUAGACGGUACUCGGUAGGAAGUGGUAAAAUGCUUUGAUCUAUCGAUGACCACCUGUGGCGAAGGCGGUCUACCAGAACACGUCCGACGGUGAGGGGAUGAAAAGCUGGGGGAGCAA